CGGCAAUGAUCAACAGCUGCGUCCUUCUCUGGCUGGUUUUGGUUUGACAAGGCUUAGACCCCAGAGAAGUCCUGUAUCCUGCAAGACUUUUAUACCAACAUAUUAUAAUGUUUAAAAAUAAUCAAAAUAUUUUAUCUGCGUCGCAAAUUUAAUAGCGCCGACAUAUUUCUAUGAUCUAGUACUAUUAAAGUGGGAACCACGUCUGUCUAGUUGUCUGUCUGUUCAAAAGAAACAGGACCUCCCGAGAAAAGCUACAACCGCCAUCGUGUUCAGCGCCGCGAGUAAUACAAAGAAAUCAAGGCCAUUACGGAACACUUUCCUGUUUUUCCACCUCUAACAAGUCAAAAAGUUGUUCAUGAUGCCGAAAGGCAUUGAUAAACCGUUGAAACUUUUCCGUGGAAUUGUAAUUAUUUUCCUUGAAUGAGGAAUUCCUAGUAAGUGUGAGUCAUCAGCUCGCGCUGAUUACGUCCCUAUUAUUUAUACACACCGCCCAUCGCUGUCCGGGACUGAGUCUCGAGUGGACUGCGGACUGCUGUGUCGAGGCCUUCGGGUCUCGGUAUGGCGGAAAACAGUUCAAUCGCAAUGGCUUGAACUGGGUAAAAGUCGUAAGACGAUGAUCCAUCUGUAGGUGAAUCUGCAGAUGGAUCACCG
rnacentral:ncRNA from 1 species